rnacentral:rRNA from 1 species
AAAUUUUGAGGAGACUAUACAAUUUCCCCCGCCCGGGAACUACAAGCACUAGCUUAAAACCCAAAGGACUUGGCGGUGCCUCAGACCCACCUAGAGGAGCCUGUUCUAUAACCGAUAACCCCCGCUUAACCUCACCGCCCCUUGUUCCUCCCGCCUAUAUACCACCGUCGCCAGCUUAUCCCAUGAGGGAUUUAUAAUAAGCAAAAGGGGCAAAACCCAAAACGUCAGGUCGAGGUGUAGCGCAUGGGGCGGGAAGAAAUGGGCUACAUUUUCUAAACUAGAAUAUACGAACCCUGUUGUGAAACCAACAGCCAAAGGUGGAUUUAGCAGUAAACAGAAAAUAGAGUGUUCU